UACGAAGGGGGCUAGCGUUGCUCGGAAUCACUGGGCGUAAAGCGCACGUAGGCGGCUUGUUAAGUCAGGGGUGAAAUCCUGGAGCUCAACUCCAGAACUGCCUUUGAUACUGAGAGGCUUGAGUCCGGGAGAGGUGAGUGGAACUGCGAGUGUAGAGGUGAAAUUCGUAGAUAUUCGCAAGAACACCAGUGGCGAAGGCGGCUCACUGGCCCGGUACUGACGCUGAGGUGCGAAAGCGUGGGGAGCAAACAGG
rnacentral:rRNA from 1 species